GACGGAGGGGCAAGCGUUGUUCGGAUUUAUUGGGCGUAAAGAGCGUGUAGGCGGCUAGGUAGGUCCGUUGUGAAAACUCGAGGCUCAACCUCGAGACGCCGGUGGAAACCAUCUAGCUAGAGUCCGGAAGAGGAGAGUGGAAGUUCCUGGAUGUAGCGGUGAAUGACGCAGAUAUACAGGAAGAACACCGGUGGCGAAGGCGGGUCUCUGGGCCGUAACUGACGCUGAGGAGCGAAAGCAUGGGGAGCGAACAGG
rnacentral:rRNA from 1 species